rnacentral:rRNA from 1 species
CCUACGGGAGACAGCAGUAGGGAAUCUUUCACAAUGGGCGAAAGCCUGAUGGAGCAACGCCGCGUGCAGGAUGAAGGCCUUCGGGUUGUAAACUGCUUUUAUAAGCGAGAAAUAUGAUGGUAACUUAUGAAUAAGGUUCGGCUAACUACGUGCCAGCAGCCGCGGUCAUACGUAGGAAACGAGCAUUAUCCGGAGUGACUGGGUGUAAAGAGUUGCGUAGGUGGCAUAAUAAGUAGCUAGUGAAAUCUGGUGGCUCAACCAUUCAGACUAUUAGCUAAACUGUUAAGCUCGAGACCGUUAGGGGUAACUGGAAUUUCUAGUGUAGGAGUGAAAUCCGUAGAUAUUAGAAGGAACACCAAUAGCGUAGGCAGGUUGCUGGGACGGUUCUGACACUAAGGCACGAAAGCGUAGGGAGCAAACGGGAUUAGAUACCCCUGUAGUC